UACGUAGGAGGCGAGCGUUGUUCGGAAUCACUGGGCGUAAAGGGCGCGUAGGCGGCCUGUUAAGUCGAAUGUGAAAUCCCCGGGCUCAACCCGGGAACUGCGUCCGAUACUGGCAGGCUUGAAUUCGGGAGAGGGAUGUGGAAUUCCAGGUGUAGCGGUGAAAUGCGUAGAUAUCUGGAGGAACACCGGUGGCGAAGGCGGCAUCCUGGACCGAUAUUGACGCUGAUGCGCGAAAGCCAGGGGAGCAAACGGG
rnacentral:rRNA from 1 species